UACAGAGGUCCCGAGCGUUGUUCGGAUUCAUUGGGCGUAAAGGGUGCGUAGGCGGUCUGCUAAGUUUGAUGUGAAAUCCCGGGGCUCAACCCUGGAACGGCAUUGAAUACUGGCGGACUAGAGUACCGGAGAGGAAACUGGAAUUUACGGUGUAGCAGUGAAAUGCGUAGAGAUCGUAAGGAAGACCAGUGGCGAAGGCGAGUUUCUGGACGGUAACUGACGCUGAGGCACGAAGGCCAGGGGAGCAAACGGG
rnacentral:rRNA from 1 species